GUCGUGAGCAACUCCGGUACGUUUGUGCUUUCCUUAAGCAAAGCCAGUCUUUUCUCCGGUUGAUCAAGAGUUUCUCUCGCAAAUACGACUCUGGUAAAUCGGAAGUGAUGGAAUUUUCCUAUACCUCUGGGUGGUUUGAAAUAAUUAGUGAAGAAAUUAUCCCAUCUGUACCACUUUAAGCUGUGUUCGUCAUCGUCAUUUUCAUUAUAAACUUCUGACCUACUGUGAAAGUACUUUUAUUCGUGGGGUACCAAUUUUCGUGGUUUUCGUGGAUGACUUUAUCCACGAAUUUAAGUGUCCAACGAAAUAAAACAACCAUUGUCCAAAUCAAGACAUGGAAAGAUCCCAUCGGUAGGUUUGACCACUGAUAUGAUCUAGAGAAUAUAUUGAAUAACGCCAAAUCUGAGAAUACAUUAAUAGCAGUCACAGAACUACAACCGCAUGCAGAAUUAUACCCAUUUAAUCUUUAAUAACCUAAACUGUACAACUUUUAAUCUUUUUAUUCUCAUAAAACAUAUUGUUGAUCGACGAAAGUCAGAUUUCCGGUAUUGAUAUGCUAGUAUGAUAAAGUGUUCAUUUUAUAUCCUCAUAGUUCUCCUACAUGUGGGAAAUAAUAAUUUCAAGCUGGGCUUGAUUUUGAUAAGAAUUAUUUGACAAUUCAAGAUACGUUUAAACCAUUUAUUUAUGUUACUGUUUCUUUUAGGUGACAUGUUUAUGGCCUAAUCAACACCUUUGAUGGUCUUUAAUCUGUUGAUCACUUUAUCAUAGGUUAAUUAGUGUUAUCACUACGAUUUACACGGUCAAUGUUUACUUUGCAAUUUCCUUCAAUCAAGAC
rnacentral:lncRNA from 1 species